rnacentral:rRNA from 1 species
UACGUAGGGUGCAAGCGUUAAUCGGAGUUACUGGGCGUAAAGCGUGCGCAGGCGGUUAUGUAAGACAGGUGUGAAAUCCCCGGGCUUAACCUGGGAACUGCAUUUGUGACUGCAUAGCUAGAGUACGGUAGAGGGGGAUGGAAUUCCGCGUGUAGCAGUGAAAUGCGUAGAUAUGCGGAGGAACACCGAUGGCGAAGGCAAUCCCCUGGACCUGUACUGACGCUCAUGCACGAAAGCGUGGGGAGCAAACAGG